rnacentral:rRNA from 1 species
AACGAACGCUGGCGGCAUGCCUAACACAUGCAAGUCGAACGAGACCUUCGGGUCUAGUGGCGCACGGGUGCGUAACGCGUGGGAACCUGCCCUUAGGUUCGGAAUAACUCCCCGAAAGGGGUGCUAAUACCGGAUAAUGUCUUCGGACCAAAGAUUUAUCGCCUUUGGAUGGGGCCGCGUUGGAUUAGCUAGUUGGUAGGGUAAAAGCCUACCAAGGCGACGAUCCAUAGCUGGUCUGAGAGGAUGAUCAGCCACACUGGGACUGAGACACGGCCCAGACUCCCACCGGGGGCAGCCGUGGGGAAUAUUUGACAAUGGGGCAAAGCCUGAUCCCACCAUGCCGGGUGAGUUAAUAAGGGCUUAGGGUUGUAAAACUCUUUUUACCGGGAUGAUAAUGACAGUACCGGGAGAAUAAGCUCCGGCUAACUCCGUG